UUUGCACAGGGUAUACAACAUCCUGAGCCAACUAAAGUACAUUUUGCCACGAUAUAUUUACUUAUUCUGGUUUCCUAACCUGCAAGCAGCCGAUCAGCUGAGCGCCCUUUGAUAAUGCCUUCCUUUCAAAAACCCUGCGGAGCAGCGCAGGGCAGCAGGUGGAAAACACCAAACCACCGACCACCAUUAACUGCCCCAGGAGCUGGGCAAGACCGGCCAGCCGGCGCUCUCUCACUCAGACUGCCAAAAAAAGAACCGGUCACGCAAAAGGCUUCAGGACCGCAGACCGCAAAGCAGGGUUAACUCCGGAACCUCCCGCAAAUCACCACAACCUUUCAGAGAUCUUUGAGAGUGGCCUCGCAAUAACAUUAGCCAGCUCCCUCAGCACUCAUGGGUGCAUCCCGUCACGCCCCAUGGACAUGUGUAUAUCCAGUUUAACUGAUCACUGACCUGAUCUUCUUCCACUGAAGGCAGGAAAGUCAGAGCCCUGCUGAUGAAUGUCACCAGUUCCCAAAAUCCAUCAUUCCUCUAUUAGCAGCCAGCAGGCCAGGAAGCACUAGGCUCCACAUGGACCUUUCCUCCAGUCUCUGUGACAAGCUAACAGCGAGGUAUUUAACCAGCAUGGCUAUUUUCUGCCUGGAUGGCUAAAGUAAAACUGUUCCACCAGUAACAUAAAAAUGUUCUAGCAACACAGCAACAAACCACACAGCAUGCCAAGGAGCUGUGGGUUCAUUGCUGGGAGGUUACUUUUAAUUACAAGGUCCUGAUUAACACUGGAACAAGGCAAUAGCUUACUUCAAACAGUUCCGAGUCAUGGUACUUAAAAAUGUUGAUCUUUGUCAUGAGCAAGGGCAACAAGUGACAAGGAGAAAAAGAGAACUGCUUCAGCUCUGAGUGGGUUUGAAUUCCUAUUACAGGACUUGUGGAAGCCCAGUAAUUUAUAAAAAACAGCUUUCAAACGAUCUUUUCAUAGUGUCAUAACCAGCCAAACUGUCAGCUCUGUAAUUCCCAAAUUGAUGGCAUCACACAGGAACUUCAUUUUAAACAAGGCUUUUGUACAAGAUGAGCCUUUAAUGGUUUUGCAUUAAUUUUAUUCUGCUAAUUUGUGCAUUCUAUCAUUUCAGCAUUAUUAUCGUUGUUAACAAAGUAUUAUUUGAGUUUGAAUUUUGUUUAUUUGAUCUGACAACUGCCUGAAACAUUUUAACUUGUGCAGUUUACCAGAGACUGUUAUCUGCCUCUUAGGAACAGAAUUCUGAUUGUAGUCCAGUCUCUGCAACAGUAUUACUGCAGGGACAGAUCCUGGAUUUAUUUGAGCUUUUAACUUCAGUUCCUCUGUAUGCAAGUGGAACAUGAAAGUACCAUAAUUAAGAGCCAAUACAAAGUGGAAGACAGCAAAAAUAAGGAAGUACACUCCUCAUCAUGGAAAUGGUUAAGCAUGGUAAAAAUGAAUCCAAGAGCUUUUGUAGAGUGAGCUGUCUCCUUCACUAAGAAAUAAAAGAAUAUUUAAUGAAAUCUAUGGAUUAAGCUCAGUAACUUCUUCAGUGUAUCUGUCCUGCCUCAAGUGGGUAGUUAGGUGAGCUGUUAAAUGUCUGAACUUUGACCAUUGCAACAGACUUUUAGUUUUAACUGCCACAUGUGUAUAAAGGCUUCUUUAUUUUCUCAUCAUAGGAAGUGUAGGACAGAUGAAAGGGAAGAACUUUGGAAUAUGCAAUCAAUACUGGGAAGUUUAAUCUGGAGCUACAGAAUACAAGUAAGAUAGAUAUCACUGGAAUGAUUAAAUUGUGAAAAUAUCUACUCCUUAAUUUCAUCAGGAAAAAAAAUGAAGAAAGCUGACCAAGACAAAAAAUGAAUUUCUUACUUCUUAAGUAUAACAACAUGCAGCUGAUGUCCCUUAUCCAAAUCAAGGUCACUUUUAACUGGAGUGCCAUAACCUAGUCCAGUCGGAUGGUUUGGCUGAAUGAAAGAAAGAGCUGCUGGCUUUAUAUGAGGCAGAUGGUUCUUGCACAUCAGAUUAACUCUGACUUGAUGCUACCUGUGGACACAGCAGUGGGAAAGAUGACCCCGGAAAAGAAAUGCUGCUUGCCAGGAGUGUAUCAGGAGACGUCCCCAGUGUAGAAGCAAAGCCCUGCUACAGUGUCCUUAAACUGCCCUUGGAUUUGUUUAAUUUAACUGAUCAAAUGUAGUAUGUUUUCUGGGAGCAUAAAACAUUUGCAUAGCACAAAUAUCUAAGGCAGAAUAUAGAAAAGCCAGAUAUGACAUUCUGUCUGUCUAUGAAAAAUCCAGGAUGUGAUCAGCCUUGCCUUGAAGGCAGUAGUGAUGUUCCCAUCGACUCCAUUGACACCUCAGAUCAGACACCUUCAAACUGACUCUCAGAUAUGGGGGAAAGAUAUAGCAGAGAGAGAGUGAUCUCAGGCACAAGGGACGUGUACUGUCAGAGUGUUAAUCUGUUUCAUCUACUCCUGCCAGGAGCCACCAGGCAGCUUGGAGGAAGCUAUAGGUGUUAGCAGGGACCAAAUUUGCUCCUAGCUGGACCCAGGACUGAUGCGCCGCUAACACUGUGUAUAACAGAACUUUUGCUUGCUGUUCUUGUGAGCUGAGCACCCCUCAUCUCUUCAUCUGAAUCCCAGAUUCAAUUAUUUUGACAAAGUGUGCUAGAAAAGCUACGCUCAUCUGUUAGAAAAGAUAAAAUAAGCACAUAACACUAAAUUACAUUUGUCAAAAAAAUAUAUGAACCAACCUUAUUUGUGAUGAACUUUCAUGCAUUUAUCAGUUUCUGAAUAGAUUUUUAGGACAUAAACUUGCAAGGGGCUGUGCAUAAGGAUCAACUCCUUGCAAGAUCAGGGCCAUAAUCCACCAAACAUCUGUCAAUCAUAUGAGUAAAUUUGUGCACUUUCACUAUUCAAUUCACUUUCUACUUCCCAAAUGCAAAAAUCUGAGCAUCCUUAUGAGACUAUUUUAGCCUCAAGUUCUCUGAUGUUUUCUUUAAUGCCAUGCAAAAAAAUGAUUCUCUGUUUAAUUAGCGCCAGAUGCUUUGACACUUCUAUGUUUCUAAGGGAAGGAACAAAAUCCUUCAUUUAAUCUUUUUUUUUUUCGUAACUCUUUUAGUAACUCUUUACCUUCUGAGUCUAAUUUAACUAAUCACCUAAUAAUGAUUUCUCUGUAAGUCAUAGGGACCACUAUGCACACUACAUCACGGCGCCUUGAUAAAGCAGAUCUGAGAAUUUUAAAACAUGGCUAUACCUUCAAUGAGAGGAUGAAAGCUCAGCAGUUCUCUAUUACAUCACUUGUAAUUUUGGACAGUUUCCAUUUUCAGCCUAUCCAUUUCUCUCUCUAAUAGUUAUGUCUCUUCUCUUCAUUUUCUUCUACAACUUUUCAUUUAUCUUGCCAAACAUGGCCUUCACAUGUAGCACUCUGUAAGGAGUAACCUCUUGCUGCCAUCUUUGUAACAGUGCAGCAUGGUCUGCAUACCAAGCAAAACAUACUUGGAAUUACCAUUUACAGCAGACCAAUGAAAGGUAUUUCAAGCAUAUGGAAAGACUUCAAGCAUAAGAUUAUUAGGCUCAGUGACUAAGCUCUUCAAUACAGUGUGUCUCCAUUUAUGAGACACGAUAUCAAUCUAUUUGGAUUCAAAAUAUUUUCAUUUUCCAUUCUGACAAAAUGUAUUCAAAAUUUAUUCCCAUUCAAAACCAAGGGUUGCUUUGGAACUUGUAGACAGAAGCAACAUUGAGAAACUUUGCUGGUUUAAAGACAAAGUGUCCUUAAGGGAGAUCUUGGACAAAGCUGAAUUUUCAGAAAAUUUCUGUUGUUUCUCAUUAGCAAGAGGUAUAAACUUUUUCAGUUUCCCACCAGGGAGACAAAGAAGGAAAAGAGAAAGGGGGAGGUUAAAUGAUGUAAUAUCUCAGACAUAUAAUUCUUUUUAAUGAUAUAUGCAUUUUGCUUUUUAACUCAGCACUCCUUGCCUGCAGUAUAAAUGCAUAUAGAUUUAGGGCACUUUUUUUGUUCAACAGAUUGGCUAUUGAAAUUUGCAUUCCAUUAUCACUUGGAGCUGACUUAAACUGUGUAUUAGAUAACUCUUUUUACUACAGUAAGGCAUACGUAUUAUUUAUAUCUGUUUGCAUGGCUUCACAUAAUGACAGUUUUGAGAGCAAAGGUAAGCCGUGUUUUGUGUUCCUGUUGAACCACUAUUGUAUUUGACUGAUAUGAAUUGAGGGCUCAGUCCUGCAAGCCAUUUUCUUUCUCUUGAAGGUAAUCCAAUUAGUACCACUGAAAUAACUCCUCCAGGACCACAUGCUUUUAUAUAUAAUGACAGUACUUUGAGAACAACAAUAAAAACUAACUCUCAGAACACCAAAUAAUACAAAGGACCAUUUAUCUCCUAGAGCACUGUAAUAACUGAAAUAUGACAUUUCGCGUGCAUUAGCAAGGUUGAAUAAUUAGUGUAUCCGGUACAGAUCAAUAUUGCGUGAUGAGAAUAGAAAAAGUGGUGCUUAUAUUGAAGAAAGAGGGGAUGGGUUGC